rnacentral:rRNA from 1 species
AUGACUACCUGCUUCGUUGAUAUAAUAAAAGAUCAUUCCCUGGACUUCCUUGGUAUCCAGGAAACUAAGAAGAAGAACUUCACCCCUAAUCUCCUUAGAAAAAUUGACCCUCUUGAUAAGUUAAAUUGGAACUGGAUCCCUUCGAUUGGUAAGUCUGGAGGCAUAUUGUGUGGGACUAGGAGAGAAACCAUGGAGAUUAUUUCCUGGUCGGGGGGUGAAUUCCUUAUGCAGACUAUUGUCUUUGAUGUGAACCUCAAAUGUGUGUGGACCCUAGUGGUGGUAUAUGGGGCAGCCCAAAAAGAGAGAAAAAAUGAUUUCCUUGCAGAAUUGGCUACGACAUGUGCCACGAUUAGUAAUCCUUAUGUGGUUGGUGGUGAUUUUAAUAUCUUACGUGAAAGUGGUGACAAGAAUAAAAAAUUAACCUACUCCCAAUAUAUAGAUAGCUUCAACGCUAUCAUUCAGUCCCUGAACCUUAGAGAGAUUCAUAUGGGAGGGGGAAAAUACACCUGGACCAAUAAGCAAAAACACCCUACACUGGAGAAAUUGGACAGAAUCCUUAUGAACCCUACUUGGGAAGAUCUAUUCCCUAUGGUUACAGUUCGUAAGUUGGUAUGAGAUGUCUCAGACCACAACCCGUUGUUGCUGUCGACGAACCCUAUUAGAAAAAAUCCCACCCGGCAGCGCGAAUUCAGAUUCGAGCUGAGCUGGCUUAAGAAUGAGGAUUUCUUUAGGACGGCUAAAAAGAUUUGGGAAAGACCUGUGCAUUCUGAUGACCCUAUCGAUAUCCUUAAUAUCAAGUUGAAACGCCUCAAGAAAUAUUAUAAAGGGUGGGGGGGCACAUUCCUUUGGGCAUGCUAG